ensembl:misc_RNA Metazoa_SRP Metazoan signal recognition particle RNA
GCUGGGCAUGGUGGUGUGUGCCUGUAAUCCCAGCUACUCGGGAGGCUGAGGCAGGAGGAUCGCUUGAACCCGGGAGGAAGAGGUUGCAGUGAGCUGAGACUGCGCCACUGAACUCCAGCCUGGGUGACAGAGCAAGACUCUGUCUCAA